AUACCCUUUGUAUUGUCUAUCACUUUCUACCUAGAUAUGCCUUAGCUCCCUGGUUUGAUCCAAACCCUUUCUUGGAAUGGUCAGUCUUUAUAUACAAGCAUAUAUUCAGUGUCCAUAUAUCAUUAUGUUGUAACUUGUUACCGUAUCAAAACAGUUUCGUGUCUGCAAAUUUGUUAUAUGAAAUGGAGAGAAAAGUGAAAGAUGGGAUUCUUUGCUGUGCUUUUGUUAGACAGACUAUUUCUACUCAAAAUCAUAAGAACAGUUGUUGCACGCCUUCACUACCUAACCCCACCUUCACUAGAUUUGCAAUUCUUCCAUAGAUUCGAAAGACGAAUGGUUUUUCGAUGCAAUGUUCAUAAGGGUUGAAACUAGUCGUUGUGUUUAAUGUACAAGAAAACUUUGAAAUGGUCUAAUGGAACUUAUGAGCCCUCUAGUUACUUUUGUUCCUUUCUGAAUUCUGAUUCAACAGUUGGAAAGGGCUCGUCCAGUUCUGCAGAAGCUGCACAGAAACAAAAUAGGCAUUUUAACGGAAAGUGGCUUUAGAAAAAUAAUACUACUUCGACAAACUUUGAACAACCCAUAAUGGUGUCCAGUGUGUGCUCAGAUAGCUUCAAAGCAACUCUACAGUACCGAGUGUGAUAGAAAACUAAAUGAGAACCUGCAUAUCACUAUAUAUUUCUUUUUUCAAUUGUAGAAAUACAACAAAGGCUACAACGUAGCACCCCUACAGCCCUACCACAGCCUAAUUGCAUAAUAUCAAGAUGAAAUGCUGGGGAGCAGCUAAAGAAGGGAGUGAGUCCAGCUAGCAUAUUACCAUAUGUUACUAUCAGAAAGUUCUCAGUUUUCAGUGAGGGAUGUAAACUAUGCGCAAUGGAGCUCUAUCACAACCCACAUUCCACACUCGAGAAAAACUUAUAGCAGCAGCAAUCGAACGAGAGAAGAAAGCUUGAAAUCACACGAAAUUAACCACCAGUAGACUGUAACCAAAAGUAACUGAGCUUAGUAAACAUACUUCCAAUGUCCCUUCCCUUUUGUAUUGUGGGAAUCAAAAGUGUUUGAACCGGAGUUACACUUGUUCAGAACCUCUAAAAUUAGUCAUGCUUAGAUCAUUUCUCUCAGGUCAUAACCUAGUUGGGUACGAAUGGGUCGUGAGAAUGCAUGAAUUAUUCCAGGUGGUACAGAAACACUUGGCUCUGUUGUUCAUUUCACACUUGGCUCUGUGGUACAGAAAAUGUGGUGCUUUGGCUCCUUGUGGAUUCCCUAGGAAACCAAAGGCUCCAAUUCUCAGCUUACAACAAACAAAUGCAGCAGUAACUCACUGUACUAACAAACAAAAAUUUGUAACAAACUAAUAAUGUAACCUCCUCAACACUGCACUUCUUAAUAAGAGAGAAGCCAGUCCUUUCUUUCUUAUAAAAAACUGAUAAGCUGAAUAGAGUAUCUAAACCAGUUAUGCUUUGACUGUUAUAAGCAAAGAGAGGAAAGGGUAAAAAGAGAGACAUAGAGAUGGGGUGUCUGCCUUUACCUUCGCGAAGAAGACGCAAGGCUGCGGUUCCAAGAGAUCGAGUUCUGAAGGGGAAGAGAGCAAAGCUGUAUAUAAUCCAGCGUUGCCUCGUGAUGCUGAUUCUCUGGAGAGACGAUGAAGAUAAGUGAUGUAUGUUUAGAAUUGUUGAAUAAUAAUCAAUGUAUCUCUCUCCUUCCUGCAAAUAUGUAGUGGAAAUCUAAGAUGCACUGUAAUGCAUGGUGAGCAACAUGCCAUGAUUUUGCAAUGAAAAUACUAUAGUUCUGCAUAUUCAUCCUCCUUUUAUCAUUUGUUCCUGCACUUAAUCGUCUUGCUAAUAUGCGGAAACAACCAUCCCAAAGCUAACAUGCCAGCUUUCAUUACAACAUCUCAAAUUUUAUUUUUUGAUACAAUUACAACAUCUCAAUUCGACAAGACCGUAAACCAUAUUUCUGAGUGCAUCAAGUUGUAGCUUAAACUUGGCACAGUGGACUUCCAUGUAUAGUUGUUUUCUCAGUGUAUGUUCGCUAGAGAUGACCCUUGAGGAGAGAUAUGUUGCUCACUUAUAUUCAAUUUGAGCAGCAGCAGGAACACUAUGAAUUUACUAUACCUAGUGAAGUUUUCAUUUGAAUACCAAAGGUAACUUAACACCACCUAGAACACUUGUAUGCAAAACUCAAACCAAUACAAGACUCUGUAACUGUGUUCUGUCACUAAGAUGGAAUUUACCUGUUAAGGAAACAAUGACAAAUCUGGGAAAGUUUCAACAGAUUUUGUCGCAUAUCGCAGCAGAUCUCUUGCAUUAACAGACUGGUCAUAAACCACAGAAAACCUUUAAAACUUCAACACAGAUACAGUUUGAACAAUACUACUAGACCCUUUUUCUGUCAUUCAUGUUGCAGAUUCAGCGUCCCCCUAAUUUAUCAGCUAGUUAUCUCUAGUCUGCGAAACGAACAGGAACCAUAACAAUGAAUACCCACCAAAAAGAAAACUAGCCAAUAAAGAUACUCAACGGAAUUCUACAAGGAAAACAAGGAUGACAUCAAGCUCAUCAUCAAUAUGAGACUCUGGCAAAGCCAUAUGGAGACAUAUGUCUACAGUUCCUUUUUUCCCCAUAUGUCUACAGCUUACCAAGCCACACAACACCUAGAGAAAACAAUCAUAAAUGCUUGUUCAGUUUCUACAAGCUGCAUCAAACAAGUCAAUACCCUAUUGAAUAUAUCAUGCCAAGUUCGCCAACUGCUGCGUAAGCAGUCAUAAACCUACCAGAACUUGGACAAUUUGCAUUGAAACAAACUUAUAUCCUAGUAGCAGAACCCAAACCUGAUUCUAGCAAACACUGAAACUGGUAAGACAUCCAAUACCUCUGCAUAGACUCAUCCGACUUUUCAUCAACAAAAACACCCCCAAAAACACCAAAAAUUGCAAAAUGUAUAAGAUAUAGGAAAGACUAAACAUAAGCAAAGAAUCCCAAAUCUGACACACGAAACUCACCAAAUUCAUAUACAAAAAUCCACGCUAGUACUACUCAUAUAUGAUGAUGGAUGUAAAGAUACUUAAACUCCAAUUUACAAAUACAUUUCACUAACACAAAUGUCAUACAAACUUAAACACGAUCACAGUUCUAAUACGCAGUAAACACAACUAUAUAUAAUAGCAUAAACACUAGAAUUCUUCUUCUUUCUUCUUCUUAAAGUUCCCAAUAUUUCUACAUAGAAAAUAGUAGCGUACAAUACACCGAGAGCGGUCAACAUCAGGCCGGAACCUCCUGGGCUGCGGCGGCGGCGGCGGAAGCGGGGGCGGGCUGAUUGAGAUUGGGCUCGGAGGUGGGGCCGGAGGAGAGCAAGAGAGAGCCGUGGUCAUCGGCGGCGGAGAAGUUGUUGUCGUCUUCGAAAUCGGUGGUGCUGAGAUUGAUGCAGGAGCAGCGCUCCAGGGAGGCGAAGAAGGCGGAGGCCACGUUGGUGCUGACGCAUGACAGCACCGACAUGCAGUUGUUGUUCUCCAUCGUCCGAUUGAUCCUUUGUUGAUGGAGUUGCGGAGCUCAGAAAAUGGGGUUGUGACUAUUUGCCGGAGAAACAAAAAGGAAAGAUAUUUUCAGCUUUUCUUUCUUCUUCUGCUCGUUACCUGCUGCUUUCUAUUUUCAUCGUCACACUCCCCUCUUUGUUUUCUUUUUUUAUUUUUAUUUUUGGUUGACUUGUUUUUUUCUUUAUAAUAGUAGAUUUAUAUUUCAAUUAAGGUAAUAAAAUUAUUCUGACCAAUGAAUCAGAAGAAAUCUCAUAUGUCAUUAUUGGAAAUAUUAUUAUGGACACGUAUUAUAUUUCUAUCGGUAGAUUGGUCCAACCGUCUGACUCAAGAUAUGUUCGAGAGAAUGAUAUCCACAAAAUAGUUGUAUUGAUGGUAACAAUCGUACAAAUAAUUUAUAAAACAAACAAACUUGGGCUGAGUAAUUUUUUACUGGGAUAGUUCAUCAAAGGUACUAGUGUGUUUGUGUGUGCGUGCCAAAUUGCCAACAGCUCUUAGCACCAUUGGGAUGGCACAUUUUAUACACAACUCUCCCAACAAAAUCUUUGAAACCAUAUCCACCUCUUUCAUGGUCCAAUUGUAGGAUUGAGACCUGAAUUGGAAAUGGAUGAGCGUAUCUAAAGGACACCAAGUUUGAGUCCUAGUUGAAGACCCUACUACAUGAAUCCAAGUUGGUCUAGGCUGUUUCUACUAUACACGGCAACAUAUACAAAGAAAAACUACACAGCCACAUACACAAGAAAGAACCUUAAGGUACUCACCACAUCACAUAAUGAGGCAAUUCCAUGCUUUGGCCUUUGCCAUUAUCAAGCAUGGUCCAGAAGACCAUUUUGCAUAACUUUUCACAUAUAUUUAUAUGCAUAUAGAAUAUAGACCUUUCAAAACCAGACUGUUAAGAUCAUAAACUGAAAAUGUAGAAGAUGCAGAAUAUAUCCCAGUAACAAUGAAUCAUAAAGGUCUCAUCCAAAAGAAUUGUAAUGAAUCACAAAACUGUUUCUCAAUGAGUAAUGAAAAAUAGUUUCCUCCACCUUUCAGGCGAAAAAGGAACAAAUUGCAACACAGCUUAUGCCUUACAGUGAAGCCUUAUCAGCCAUGAUGAUUAGAGCAAUGCCUAAAGUAUAUACCUUCUCAAUGCAAAUACAUCUGUACCAAAAUCCACUCUGUCACUGUUAUCUGUAGCGUAUGCCACUGUGGUUAUCUGAAGUAGACCGGGAGAGUCCUCCUUCGAUUGAUAGCAAUGAGACAUUGUUUGGAUUCUCUAUCAUCAUCUUAGCAAUCAGAUAGCCAGACAUGCUCCAUGUCUGGAACUUCCUUGCUUGCUUCCCAAUGUAUUUCCCCGUCUUACCAUCAUAGUACUCAGGCCACCCGUCUUUGGAGAGCCGCUGCUCAGCCAGCUCUAUUGCCCUCUUUGCAAUCUGUAGCCUCCCAGUCUUGCUGCAAGCAGAAGCCAGCAGCCACAACAGUGCUACAAGAAGAUCAAACAUGACAAAAUUAGCAGCAGAAAAUGAAUUUGAACCUAGCUCAGACAUUGAACCAGCCCAAAAGAUUAACAAACUGAUAGAUUGCAUGCAGUGCAACAAAGGUAUUUUAGUAUGCAGGAAACCAUAUUAAAUAUACCAUUUUGUGAACAGAGAGAUGCUAUUAUAAAAUCUAUAGAGGACUAUAGAAGACUAAAGCCAUCAUCAAAAUUAUGUUAGAGAUUUUUGAGAAAUGGCAGCAUUAAAAAUAACAUGAUCAUAUGACAAGCCUACUGCAUAGACCAAAUAAACAUUCAAAAAAUUAUUGUCCUUCCUUGACUACAUGUUAUGAUGCUGGGAAAUCGAAGUUCUCAGAUAAGAACAGCAAUUAUCACAAAUUGACAAGCAUUAUUAGAGACUAGAGGUGCUGAAAAUGAUAGAUACAACUACAAAAUGAAGAGAACAGACAAGAUAAGAACCAAUAUAAGAUAAUAAUCUAUAGUAGUUCCAACUUACUUGGCCAUGAACCGCCAUUGUGGUAGCUCCAUCGCGUAUUCUUGGAGUCACAUCCUGUGAUUGUCCUCCACUCAUCUCCCUCUAAUGCUGGAUAUGCAAUUUUCAGAGGCAUCUCACCAAUCAAAUCAUCCCAACGCUCCUCAAUCAGAUCCAUGAUGGCUGUAGCUUGCUUAUCUGUGGCUAAACCGCUCAAAAUUGCAAUGCAGUUUCCAACUAAGAACCACCGGAAGUCCAUGCGAGCUGGGCUAACAUUGCCAAUCAAAUACCCUCCUCGUGAGCUGGGCAUGAAAUCAAAAACCCAUUCAGGGAUGGACUCUGGCAUCACAUUGAACGUGUUGACAGCAGUAUGGGAAUACUCCUCCGUUUUGUAUCGGUAUACGUUAUUGAGCUGCUUAAAAUCAAGCCAGUAGUACUGCUGGAUGUGAAAGCAGAGAGCUGCGAUGCGCUUAGCUAUCCUCUCAAGAAGCUCCUUAACACCAUCCUCGGGCUUCAACAGCUGCACUGCACACCUCAAUGCAAAGUAGAAAAGUGCUUGGAUCUCUAUUGGAUAACCAUAUAUGCCCUGUCCAGAAAGCAAGCAAAGUUGUAAGAAAUGAGUUUACUUAACUACGUAUAGAAAAUUUACAAGAAGACGUGUAAGAGGCAUUGGCCCCUCAACUAAGAAAUUUUUCCAGUAUGAGCUGUGAGCCUGUCACUAUGUUUACCUCUUAGCCACAUUCUCAGUUAAAACCAAAACCUUACCUACUAGAUUGUUACAAACAUUAUCAAGUGAUAUGCAAUUCUGCCAAGAGAUUCAAUGCAGUUAAACUGUUUGAAGAAUACUAAAAACAAAAGUACCAAACUUACCAUCCUCCUGUCAAUCAUACUGCAGCCAUCUGCACAAAGAAGAGUUGGGAAUGUGUCAAGGUCAUCUGAAAGGCAGAGUUUGAGAAUUAGUCUCAUUCCCUUUUGCACCUCAGGGCGCUCCCGCAGCGUAUGAUCACCAGUGCAUUUGGUAUAUGCCCUCAGCAAUAUGAUCCACCAGAAUCCAGAAUCGACAGGAGCAACUCUUCCAAUUGCGCUACCACCGAAAUCUGCAACGAUGGUUUCCUUGCCAUCGGGGGAAUCAGUUGAAACCUUAAAGCUCGCAGGAAGUACACCUUCUCCGAGUGUAAAGUUAUCAACCUUUUUCUCCCGACCUUGGAGGUGGAGUGUCUUUAGGAGAAAAUUCUUUACUAUCUCUGGCUCUGCUGGUUUCUUCAUGAGGAAGGCCAAACCAGCAGGAAUAAAAUCUCUCACAAACACCUGCAACUCAAACCAGUAAAACUAAGUUUCUCAUUUCGUAACGUUUACUUGUAGUCUGUUCCAUUUGUAAUGCCUAACAAUUGCAGCGAUAUAACAUGAUACAAUGAACAAAAAAUGAGGAAAUUUGUAUUGAAAAUUACAAGUAUGCAAGAACCUAGUGCAGAAAUGAGGAAAUAUCUACAGGAAAUUUUUACUGAAACCCCAAGGCUAAGAGUGAACACAAAUGAGGCAUGUAAUAGUUCUUGAUGUGCAAGCAUAGAACUAAUAAUAGGAUUACUCAUCCAGAAUCGACAGCACGAAAACUUUGAAAUAAAGCAUAUCUAAACAGGCACCAUUAUAACAGGGAUUGCAAAAUUAAGGACCUAAAUAAGGCAAGAACAACAAGUAAUUCUGGUAAUUAAUUAAUUACAGGAUCUAAGAAGAGCAGUCUGUACCUGAUUGUAGUUCAGCGGCUCCUUCGUUGAAUCCAUAGCAGCAAGAGUGCCAACCGGCUUGCCUUCAUAGAUAACGAUUGAUUCCCUGAGUCCAUACCAGGCCUCCUCCACCAUAGUCGCCGGAGAUUCCUCCAAAGAUUCUACCAAGAAUUCACGUAACGUAGAUACCGCCAUACUCUGCAACGUGAGCAGCGACGACGUCGUUUUCUCAGAGAUUUGGGACUCAACGCUAUGAGUCGUCGCAGCUGCAGCAUCUCUCGCCGCCGCCUUCUUCUUCUUCUUCUUCCUCUCUUUGUUCUUCUUGUUCUUCAUCUCAGAAACCGAAAGCCUCAUCGGCGACUCUAUCUCCGGCGUCUCCGAGGCCGUCGCCGGAGCAGUAGCAUGAUUCAGAGGCUGAGAAGCCUCCUCCUCUGGUUCGUUUUCCUCGUUGAGUUUCCCGAGCUGCGGUGACGACAUUUCUCUACCGGAAAUGGAAACCGGAAAAUCGAUCAGAAACCGGAAAUUCAAGAACGUAAUCGAAAUGCACAAAGACGAUUAGAGAGAGAGAGAGAGAGAGAGAGAGAGAGCGAGCGAGAGAGAGAGAGUUACCUCCAAGAAGAGUCGUGGUGAUUUCUUGCAGCGAAUCUAGAGAGAGAGAGUAGCUGUGUGUCUGAACAGAGGUGAGGUGGAGAGAGAGAAAAUGUGAGGGAAGAGGGAGAGGUGUGUGUGAGUUUAUAUACAGCGUGGAUUUCUGGGAGGAGGAGAAAGCGUGAAAGGUUUUGGCGGUUAAGAAUAUAACGGAAUUCAGGAAGUCUGGGAGGAGUCGUUGGGAGCUGUGCAGGAGAAGGAAUUAUUUUGUUUUGGUGAGGGUAUUUUGGGGAAAUCAAUAUCCGAGGCCGUUUUGGCUGGUAACGAACUACGCGCGCCCAAACACUACGGAGGCUCGUGAUUCAAAAUAGAGCACCAAAUAAUCCACACCAAUUUUUUCUUCAAUUUUUUUUUUCUUUUGUUUGCUAAAUUUUGAUUUGUUCCCAACAUGUUACUAAUAGAGAAGUAAAACUUUCAAAUACAUAAUGGUAGGAAACAAAUUUUCAUAAUCGAGCGGCCAUACUUUAUAUGAGAUCAAAGAAUCAAAACACCUAGUUACAUCAAACUUUCAAUUUGAUUAAUACUAUGUCACACUUGUAAGUCUUAAUUUGGAAGCCAAAUUACUCAGACGGAAAUUGCAUAACGCAGGAUAAAACUCCAACACAUAUGCAAAUUGCAAAAAAAAUGUGAUUCACACAAAUUCGUAAAUGAAUCACACUCGUUUUUGGUCAUUUCACCUCAAUCCCAGUUGCUGAAGAUUAAUAUUUAGGUUAUGACAAUGACCCUCUGCGAAUUCCAUAAGCAUCGCCUCAGUCCCAACUCAAAGGCACAGCACUAGUCUCCUUGCUCGCCAAAAUAGUGAGUUAACCAUGCAGACCAACUGUUCGACGAAAUGCUCAACUGAAAUUUCACCCUCCCAUUUUUGAGCUCCAAUCAAUUUCUGAGCUGCACAAAUCUUGCAGCUUCCUAUCCAGUGCUAGAUUACAUAGUGACAGCGGUGAAUGUUGGAUCACCAUGAGUAUAAGAUGGCCGAGGCUUCUCUCGCCGACGAACCUUUCCCAGAUCAUACGUAUGCAGAAAAACCCAUUAACAGCUCUGAAGAUUUUCAGUGAAGCACAAUCCAAGUACCCCAAUUACCGCCACAAUGGUCCGGUUUAUGCCACCGUGAUUGGCAUUCUCGGAAGCUCAGGCCGAAUCACUGAGAUGAAGGAAGUGAUCAAUCAGAUGAAGAGUGAUUCAUGUGAAUGCAAAGACUCGGUGUUUGUGACUGCAAUCAAGACCUACGCGAGAGCAGGGCAGCUGGACGAGGCGGUGUCUCUGUUUAAGAACCUUUCGCAGUUCAACUGUGUGAACUGGACGCAGUCUUUUAAUACCCUGGUGGAGAUUAUGGUCGAAGAGUCCAGGCUUGAAGACGCUUGUCGCCUUUUCGUGGAGCAUUGCUGUGGGUGGGAAGUGAGCUCAAGGGUUCGGAGUUUGAAUUUGCUUAUGCUUGCUUUGUGCCAGAAGGGCCGUUCGGACAUUGCAUUGCAUGUUUUCCAGGAGAUGGAUUAUCAGAGCUGCAAUCCGGAUAGGGAAAGUUACCGGAUACUAAUGAGAGGGUUGUGUGAAGACAGGAGGCUGAAUGAGGCAACCCACUUGUUGUAUUCGAUGUUUUGGAGGAUUUCUCAGAAGGGUUGUGCUGAGGAUAUUGUAAUAUAUAGAACAUUGUUAGAUGCCUUGUGUGAUAAUGGGAAAGUUGAAGAGGCUGUGGAAAUGCUUGGUAAGAUUUUAAGGAAGGGGCUGAAGGCGCCUAAGAAGUUUCGCCUCCAACUUGAUCUUAGUCGGUAUAAUUAUGGGGAAGACACAGAAGGCAUCAAGCGUUUGAUCAAUGCGGCUCUGGUCAGAGGAGGAAAUCCCAGUUUGGCUAGUUAUAGUGCUAUGGCAAUCGAUCUUUACAACGAAAAUAAGAUCAAUGAGGCUGACGCAGUACUAAAUGAAAUGCAGGAUAGGGGCUUCAGGCCAACAUCUAUUGUUUAUGGAGCAAAGGCGGCUGCAUUAUGUAGGGAAAGGAAAGUUGUUGAAGCAGUGGAGAUGAUUGAAAAGGAGAUGGUGUGGGCGAACUGUGUUCCAACUGUGAAAGUGUUCAGUAUAGUGGUGAAAGGCCUUUGUCAUGAAAAGCAGUCAGUUCUGGCUUUCGAGUUUUUGAAGAAGAUGGAAAAGCAGGUGGGUUGUGUGGCUGACAAGGAAACUUAUGGCGUUUUAGUUGAUGGGCUUUGUUGUGAGAGUAGAUUUCUCGAAGCAAGUCAAGUAUUGCAGGAAAUGCUUAUCAAGUCAAGAUUGCCUUGUGCUGAUACCUACAGUAAGGUUAUUAGGGGACUCUGUUCAGUAGGAAGGCAAUACGAUGCUGUUAUGUGGUUGGAGGAGAUGACAAGUCAGGCGAUACUACCAGAAUAUACUGUAUGGAACUCAUUGGUGGCAUCUGUGUGUUGUAACAUUGCUAAUAAUGAGGCAUGCUCUGAGGUCUACAACCGGCUAAAGAGUUCUCCCUCAGUGUGAGUUUCUGCAGUAGAGGAUGUCAAGAGUGUUUUAAGUUUGUAAAAGACUGAAUAUGUAAACCGGAACAAUAAGCUUGAUUCGAUUUUGUUAUUAUGAAACCUGUUAGUGUACUUUCUUCAAUCAUUUCAUGACUUGUUAACAAAUUAUGUUAGAGAUUGCUGUGAAUAAGAAUAAAGCAAAAACGAAGUGGAAUUUCAAAGUUUAAGAGGAUUGUAUUAUCACAUCAUGGGUAUGCUUGAACUGCAAACUUAAUCAACUCCUGAGGUCUACCUAAUGUUGGAGAGACCUUAAGAUCAACAACAGCAUUUGAGUUGGUAUAUUAACUCUUAAGUACACACUAAUGAAACAACUCUACUUUAGAAAUUAGAGAUGUACAUAAAUCUCAUAUCAAGUGUUAAGUGAUGAUUCCAAGCUGAUAAAGUUCAUUCCCUGCAUCAACUUCCAAUCAUUCUCUACACCUGAGCAAAGAAAACCAACAUAAACACUCCAUUAGACUCAUCAAAGACAGCUUGUAAUGACAGACCCUCAAAACUAUACAUACCCAAAAUCCAAUGGAAUGAAAAAUGCACCAAAUGAGCUGAUAUAGGGAAUGUGAAGGACUGAAGGGAACACUAAAUAAACAAUAAAAUGACUGGAUAUGUAUAUUAAGACAGAGAGAUUGUGUAGAUCAUAAAUAUGGUUACCUUUUCUAAGAGUGCUACUAACAGAACACUUCUAUUUAAUCAUCAUCUUCGGAGCUUCCCUCAUCGCUACUAUAAUCACUACUAUCAUCAUCUUGAUCCACAAUAUCAAGCUGAACAUGCUGAACCUGUAUUGUCGCUGGUGGUUUAUGUAUUCCUUGAGGAGCACUAGCCCGUACUUGUGGGGGCACAUGUAUGGGGAGAGCGUCCAACGGCACUGGAUCUCCAGGUUUCCAUCCAGGUGGGGGCGGAGGUAAAUCAGUUGGCAAUUCCACAGGCAUUCCUGGUUUCCAACCUGGUGGAAUUGUGAAAUUUGGAGGAAGUAUUCCCUGAAACGGAACCAUGCCAGCUUGUUGAUUGUAUUCUGUUGGUUGUGGAGGUGGGGGCUCCAUUAUUGCAUCAAAUGCUUUCUCCUCGCUCUCAACUGUCUUAGGUAAUCCCACAUCAAGGUUUGCAAAAUGGUAUAGCUGAGAAGCACGCAUUUGUUCAUCCUGUGGGGCAGGUGGGAGUGCCCCACGAAGAGGAGCUUGUCCGGCACCAAAAUCAGGCGGUGCAAAGGUUGUGUAGCUUAUCCGGUGGGCAUAUGACAAAAUAUCCGAUAAUUUCAACUUAGAAGUAACAGUAGUAGUGCAUGAAGAUUCCUCAUCUUCUGCAUCCUCCUCCUCCUGUUUUGGCCGCUUGGAGCAACGAAAGUCAGAGUAGUCAUCAACAAGGUUAUCAAGAAUCUGCUCGGCAUCCUUAAGUUUCUUGGUAAAGGCAAGAAGUGCAGCAUCUUUGGACCGGAUUUCACGUGCAAUUUUCAGCUUAGAGUCCUGAAGAUCAAGAAUUUCCUGGAGCUCGGCAACAGCCUCAAAGAGUUGCGUUUGAAGCACCGUGAACUGGGCCAGGAUAUCUUUGGUGGAGGAAGGAUUGGAGUCAAGUGCAGUAAUGGGCACUGAUUGGCUUUGGGAAGGCAGAAAGGUUGGCAACGAGCCACGAAAUGCAUUGAGCCAGAGGGACCGAUUAGGCGAGACUUCAAAGAGCUUGGAGGCUAGAGAGGCCAUUUGGACAAGAAGGGACUGUGCUCUUGGGAGGGGUGGGAGGAGAGAGAUAAGAGUCGAAGAGGCAUUGGAUUGCUUCGACUCAUUGGAUUGCUGUGAAGUGGGUUUUGGAGGAUUAGGGACUUGAAUAGAUGGUGAAGUGGGAUUUGCCAGGCCUAGCCUAGCUGGGGAUUGCCCAAUUUGGUGCUGAGGUAGAUUGGAAUUCAUUUCUUUCUUCAAACAAAAAAUUGAAGAAACUCAGUAUGUGAUAAAUUACAGGCUAAAACAGUAGGUUGAAGCUAAAAUUUCCUAAAUUCUCUCAAACCCUAAAUCAAGAUUGAAUACAUGAGCAGGCUCAAGCUUUCCAAGAGUUCAUAUUAAAUCAAAAUUGAGAAGUAGCCCAAAUCAAUAACAAACUGGAAUCAGCAGAACAGUCACUCUGAACUUUAUUCUAUCAUAACAAUCUUGGAGGUAAUAUUCCUAUUUUCUUUAAAACCCUAAACCCCAAUCAAGCACAAACAACUAAUAUCAAAGUUAUAAGUCAAACAGAAUUGAAGCUGAAAAAGAACCCAAAAUAGCAAUAACGAAGAGGAAUAAGCAAGAGAGUUGACCUUUUGAGCAACUGAGUUGAAAGCUUCAGUGAGUUUCGAGGGAUGUAAAAGCAGCUACCCAGACUCUGUGCAUUUCUAAUCUCAGAGACUGUGAACUGUUUCCUUCUGGAAAUCGUCAAGAAGUAAAGAAUAUAAAAGGAAAAUAGAAAUAAAAAGUUCCAUUGCCGGGAAUCGAACCCGGGUCUCCUGGGUGAAAGCCAGAUAUCCUAACCGCUGGACGACAAUGGAUUACAUGCUCAUCUAGCUCUACAAAAGAAAUAUUUAGAAACAUUGUUUUGAUACAUGUUCAUAUGCUCUUUUAGGCUCAUGAGAUUAAAUAUACAAUAUUCACAUUUGAGUAGUCUAGAUGGGGAUCCACUCAUCCAACAUAACCCAAGUACCUCUAACUUAACAAUGACAUUAAUUUUAAAAGUUUCGAUAUCGAAUUUAAACUUUUGGUUUUAAUAAUUGUAUAUUGUGUGAUUUAAAGUUCUCUAGAGUUUAAAUAAUUCAUUAUGUGAAACAUAUAACAAGUAACUUGUUGUACGUGACUCUAAAAUAGACAAACUAUUGAUUAUAAAGGACUAUAAAUGUAAAAUACGAUAUGAAAUUUUCAACAACCCUCCUCAGUUAGAAUUAUUUCCUCUUGGAUUUUCUAUGGUAGAGAUUGUGGGUGGGAAAUCAUGUCAUGUUUGACUCGUGAAUGAUUAUGGGUGGAGGUUAUUAGUGAAAGUGGAGCAGUGAAGAUCUUUAUUUCUAGCAUGCUCUAAAGUCUGGGUGUGACAGUGGUGGGUGUGGGUGAUGAAGAAGAGUUGGAACUAUAUUUAAGAAAAGAGAUAGGAAAACAAAAUGUAAAUAAACAUGUUAGGUUGAAUUAGACAAUGAGUAUGAAUAGCUAAGUAGAUGACCAAUCAUAUACCCUCCCUCCAAAAUAUGAAGGAAUGCCAAAUUAUUUAUUUUCCCUUUGGUCAAAUCAAACUUUGCAAAAUCCCACUUAACCAAUCCAAAAAGAAAAUACAAACUUGAGGGCAUAUUUGAAGUUACACAACAGUACAAGGAUCAAACCGCAAAAACCCAGCUCCUCCUCCUCCUCCAAUGGGUCCACACCGACUCUCCAGCCAGCAAAGGAAAGAUUACAGAGUACAGACGAAGCAAAGCUAACUCUGAAAUGGAUUUCAUAUCCCUCCUCGUCCCCUUUUUCUUCCUCAACCUUGUCAUCAAACUCAAGCACCAUUUCCUUCCUCAUCAUCAUCAUCAUUAGCCCUCUCUUCCACUCCACCACCCACUCCCACCUUCCCUCCCUCAACAAAUAUCCAACCUUCUCUCUUCAAAUCACACACCCAUUUCCACACCUCAUCAAAAUUUCACUUCUUGGGGUAUUCUACAUUAACUAUAAUUCCAACCCAUGGCAGCUUUGGCGUCGUUAAAGAGCUCGCCUUUCGGGACCCCGGCCCGGUCGGUUACUAUACCCGACCCGGUUCACAAGACCCGACCCGGGAAAAAGACCGCGCCCCCGGAGAAGCAACCGAUGAUUGAUGAGGCAAAUCUCGACAACCCGGAUCUGGGUCCGUUUCUGCUGAAGCUGGCCCGGGAGGCGGUCGGGUCGGGCGAGAACCCGAACAAGGCGUUGGACUACGCGCUCCGGGCGGCCAAGUCGUUCGAGCGGUGUUCGGGUCCGGGUCUUGACCUGGCGAUGAGCCUGCACCUGGUGGCGGCGAUUUACUGUAGCUUGGGGAGGUUUGAGGAAGCGACUCGGGUUCUGGACCGGUCCAUUGAGGUUUCGGAUCCGGAAAACGGGUCGGAUCAUGCUCUGGCGAAGUUCUCGGGGUACAUGCAGCUGGGUGACACGUACUCGAUGCUGGGGCAGCUCGAGCAGUCUAUAGUGUGUUACGGGUCGGGUCUGAAGAUCCAGAUGGAUACUCUGGGUGAGUCCGACCCGAGAGUUGCAGAGACUUGCAGGUAAUCAUUUAGACUGGCUUGUUUUGGGUAAAGACUAGGUGCAGUGGGGGCUCCACUUGUUUCCUACUCAUUGGGAUUUGGGUAGAUUUAGUGGUUGCAUUGGGAUUGGGGAUGUGUAUAUAGUAAUGUGCUUGUGAUUCUCAGAGUUCUGUUUUGGUUGGUGGUGUUUGUUUAUUUUUGGUAAUAUUGCUGAUGCAACUUUGGAAUUUAACCUGGAAUGUACUAAUAGUCAUGUAACUUCUGAAAUUUACUGCAUUCUGUGAUAUACUGAUGCCUUUUUAACUGUUUCAAUAAGAGUUUGGGUGCAAUAAGAAUGAAAGUGGGUAUGAAGUUGGACGAGAUUGACAGUACUUAUGUCAUAACAUGUCAAUGUAGCAUCAAUUUAGUGAUUAACACUUCCAUGUUGUGCAGAUGUGAAGUAUGUAAUAAUUACUGAGUAUGUUUGCUGCUUGUAUUCCAGUAAAAGUAAUGAUUAUGAUGAGUAGAUGUGAAAUGAUAUUGGAAAUGGCAGGUACCUAGCAGAGGCGCAUGUCCAAGUUAUGCAAUUUGAUGAAGCAGAGAACUAUAGUAUGAAGACACUUGAAAUUCACAGGGAGCAUAAGGGACCUGCGUCUAUUGAAGAAGCAGCUGACCGUCGUUUAAUGGCUCUCAUCUAUGAGGCGAAGGGGGAUUAUGAAUCUGCACUUGAGCACCUUGUCCUUGCUAGCAUGCUGAUGAUAGCCAAUGGGCAAGACAACGAGGUUGCCGCUAUUGAUGUGGGAAUUGGCGAUAUUUAUUUGUCUCUUUGUCGCUUUGACGAGGCUGUUUUCUCCUACCAGAAAGCGCUCACAGUCUUCAAGUCUACAAGGGGCGAAAAUCAUCCUUCUGUUGCAUCGGUUUUUAUUCGCCUUGCUGAUCUGUAUUACAAGACAGGGAAGUUAAGAGAGUCUAAAUCCUACUGUGAGAAUGCCUUGAGGAUAUAUGCAAAGCCUUUGCCUGGAAUUGUCUCCGAGGAGAUUGCCACCGGGCUGACUGAAAUUGCAGCCAUUUAUGAAGCUGUGAAUGAGCCUGAAGAGGCACUAAAGCUCUUGCAAAAGGCCAUGAAGUUACUAGAGGAUACCCCAGCACACCGAAGCACUAUUGCAGGAAUAGAAGCACAGAUGGGUGUUAUGUUCUACAUGAUUGGGAGGUUUGGGGAAGCUUGGAGUUCGUUGGACAGUGCUAUAGAGAAGCUUCGCGCAAGCGGGGAGAAGAAAUCAGCCUAUUUUGGUAUUGUGCUGAACCAGUUGGGAUUGUCUUGUGUGCAGUUGUACAAAUUAAAUGAGGCUGUUCGACUUUUUGAAGAAGCAAGGGAUAUACUUGAGCAGGAGUGCGGCAUUUGUCACUUGGAUACUCUUGGUGUAUAUAGCAACCUUGCAGCAACUUAUGAUGCCACGGGAAGGUAACUGAUCUUUGAUAUCCAUACAAGCUACAAACAUUUCCUUUAGUUUAGAUGGUUAAGGUCCAGAGAUAUCCAAAUCAAGUUCACUAGUUAUACAACUUCUUUAUAUAUGGAUUCUACUGUAAUGUUGAAGUCUUAUAUCCACCAUUUUAAACAAAAGUGUACAUCUUAUUACAGGGUUGAAUCUGCAAUUGAGAUAUUAGAGUACAUUCUGAAGGUGAGGGAAGAAAAGCUUGGGACAGCAAAUCCAGAUGUUGAUGAUGAGAAGAAACGAUUAGCUGAUCUCUUGAAAGAAGCAGGAAGGGUGCGGAACAGAAAGGGAAAAUCGCUUGAAAAUCUAAUUGGCGGUUCCAACUCCCAAAGGAUGAAGAAGGAAGGAAUGAAGAGGUGGUCUGGAACUAGUUACAAAAAUUGACCAAGAAAGACUCCCUUCUUCGGCUGGUUCAUUCACUUGCUACCAGUUUUGUUAUUUAUCUGAUUUUGUAGAUAUCAUUGUAUUAGAAAAGCCUUAUGUGAUCCAAUUUCCACUGGUUGUCACUUCCCUACAAUUUAUAAGUCACUCACUUGAAUUCUGAACGUUUUAGCCUGUUUCUUAACAUCAAAUUUGGUUGGUUGUUAACUUGUUAUGACGGAUUCAAUAAAAAAUUUACUUUCGGAAUAGUUGAAUCUGCAAACACAUAACUAUCUGAGCAUGUUGUAAUGCAAGGAAGAUAUAUACCAAUGACAAAAUUUACAAAUGGUAAGUCCGUUCAUCAUUUUCAUAUCUCAAUCUUAAAAACUAAAAGAACGGUGCCUCAACAUUUAAACCCAACACAAUAUCAGUUCCUUUCGUCAUUGACACCGUCGAGUUGGACUUUGGUCAUAUGCAAAACUGUCCACUUCAUCUUUUCCCUUCAAAACAAUAACCCCCUCCAUAAGUCUUUUCCCUCCAAAACAAUGUCUUUCACCGUUAGUAUCAGUACUUGUGGUGCUCCAGGGUGUUGGAAAGUAUAUCUUAUAGCUUUGUAUAGAUAUUAUAUAUCUUGAUAUGCAAGAAUAUUGUAUUAAGCAGUGUGAUACCGUAGGAUAGUGUGAAUCAAUCUUUUGAUUCAGUUGUAAUUGUGAUAAAUGUCUUGCCUUACUGGUAUCCUAACUUGUAGGAAGAACCAGACGAUGUAGACUAGGUGCUUUGUAUAUAUAUCUCAUAGUUGAAUACAAUUAUUUAUUCUGCCAUGUUAUACUUUUCUAUAUGGUAUCAGAGCGCAACGCUCUUGGACCUAAAUUAUCAUAAUAUUUCUGAUCAGUCGGUGUUUCUUUGAGAAGUUGUGAUUUCUCUUUUGUUUAUCAUGGCUUCAGUUCAUUCUAUCAUUCAGAAACUUCAAGCAAUUGCUCCUCAUCUUACCGCUGAACAAUGCUUACAUAUUAUGGCAUUGGUAAAAAGUAAGCGUGUUUUUUCGUCUCAAGCAAACGGUACAGGUUUACCGCAUUCUUCAUCAAAUUUGUUACCAGUCGCUCCUAAUCAUUGGAUUAUUGAUAGCGGAGCAACCCAUCACAUUACUUCUUCUUCAAAAUUGUUGAUGAAUAUUGAUCAGAAUCCUUCUCUGGCACCAGUUUCUUUACCUAGUGGAGCCACGGCCGGAACUACUAUGACCGGUUCCAUUCGGCUUAAUGAUUCAUUCCAAUUAAAUAAUGUUCUCUGUGUGCCGAGCUUUAAAGUUGAUCUUAUGUCUGUUGGCAAGACAAUUGAUGAUUUACAUUGUUCAGUGACUUUUUUUCCGUCUUGGUGUAUUUUAUAGGACUUGGCUAUGAGGACGAUGAUUGGUGUGGGUAAGCGACGUGGUGACCUCUAUUACCUUGUGGCGUUGGCUUCUGCUUCUCCUUCUUCCCACUUCACUUGUAAUCUCAUGAUUUCCUCUGAUCUUUGGCACCGUCGUUUGGGGCACCCUUCUUCUGCUCGUCUACAAUAUUUAGCCAAUAGUAAGCUAAAUUUUUCUUUUGAUUCUAGUCAUAAAUGUGAUGUUUGUCCAUUGGCGAAACAAACUCGUCAACCUUUUUGCCCUAGUUCAAUUUCAACCUCCAAGUGUUUUUCCCUUAUUCAUUAUGAUAUUUGGGGUCGUUAUAAAACACCCUCUCAUUCUGGUGCUAAUUAUUUUCUAACUAUUGUUGAUGAUUUUUCCCGUUUUACGUGGGUAUUCUUGAUGCGUCAUAAAAGUAAGACACAAACAAUACUUCGUCAAUUUUUCAGUUAUGUUGCUACCAAAAUCCAACAACUCCGUUCUGACAAUGGUGCUGAGUUCCUUUCUUUACAAAUUUUUUUCCUCGAACAAGGAGUAAUUUUCCAACAUUCUUGUGUCUAUACACCCCAACAAAAUGGUGUCGUCGAGCGCAAACACAGACACAUUUUGAAAUAGCUCGUGCUCUUCGUUUUCAAUCUCAUCUACCUAUUUCUUUUUAGGGUGAAUGUGUUCUCACCGCUGUCUACACCAUUAACCGUCUUCCCACUUUGUUACUCAACAAGAAAACUCCAUUCGAAAUACUUUACAAUAAGCCUCCUGAUUAUUCUCGUAUGCGUGUUUUUGGUUGUGUUGCCUUUGCAAAAUCUGUCAAUCCAUCAUCAAAAUUCGCUCCUCGUGCACAUAAAUGCAUCUUUGUUGGAUAUAUAUCCUAUGGGUCAAAAGGCUUACAAAUUGUACAAUAUUGAGACCAAAAGGAUCUUUACGAAUCGGGAUGUGAUUUUUCUUGAAGACACUUUUUAUCAUUAAGCACCUACUGCCAAACCCGUUGAGCCCACUCCACAGGCCCAGCCCAUUCCUCUUCCUUUUGACUUUGACCCUUUCUUAUUCAAUCCAUCCUUUUCAACACAGAGAACAUCUUCUUCCUCCCCUUUCCCAACUCCAGCGACAUCUCCACAACCCAAUCCGCCGCCCCCUCCACCACCCAACUCGCCGCCUUCGCCCCCUCCCCCAAAUCCGCCAUCGUCCUCUUCACCACCCAGUCCACCGCUGCCCUCCACCAUUAAAACCUAUGUUUGCCGCCUUCGGGUUCCAGCGCCGACGUCUUCCUCUCUUCCUCCGCCGGCGUCCUCUCUUCCUCCGCCGGCAUCCUCUCCUCCUCCGCCGGGGUCCUUUCCUCCUCCGCUGGCGUCCUCUCUUCCUCCGCCGGUGUCGUCCUCUCUUCCUCCGCCGGCGUCGUCUUCUUUUCCUCCACUUGAGUCGAUUGAUAUUCCUCCCGAGCAGCCAUCAAUUGAUUCUGCUCUUCCUGACUCUCUUCCCAUUGUUCCUGCUGAGCCACUUCGUCGUUCUCAGCGCUCUCGAGAAGCCAAUGUUCGCCUCAGAGACUACGUUUGCUCGCAGGUGGUUCUGCCACCACACCAAUUGUCCUCGGCCUCAUCUUGUUCUACACCAGGUACGAAAUAUCCUCUUUGUCACUACAUAUCCUACAAUCGGUAUUCUCCUGCAUAUCUUCAUUAUAUUGCUAAUGUUAGUCGGGAUGAGGAACCGACCUCUUAUGAAAUUGCUGCAGCUGAUCCGAAAUGGCAGGAGGCUAUGAAUUCUGAGCUUCAAGCUCUCGUUGAUAAUUAGACAUUGAGUCUGGUUCCUUUACCUCCUGGAAAGCGGCCUAUUAGUUGUAAAUGGGUGUAUCGAAUCAAGCGUAAGGCUGAUGGUUCAGUGGAGCGCUAUAAGGCCAGGUUUGUUGCUCGGGGCUUCUCUCAAACUGCAGGUAUCGAUUAUCACGAUACUUUUUCCCCUACUGCAAAAAUGCUCACUGUCCGAUGCCUUCUUGCUGCUAGUCUGAACUAGUCUUUACAUCAAUUAGAUGUUAAUAAUGCUUUCUUGAAUGGUGAUUUACUGGAGGAAAUUUACAUGUCCCCUCCUCCUGGUCUUCGGCGACAGGGGGAGAAUCUAGUGUGUCGCCUUCACAAGUCGUUGUACGGACUGAAACAGGCCUCUCGUCAAUGGUUUUCUAAGUUCACGGAGGUUAUUCUUGCUACUGGUUUCUCUCAGUCCAAGGCCGACUAUUCUUGCAAGCAUGGUACAUCUCUCACUGUUUUGUUAAUCUAUGUGGAUGACAUUCUGAUAACAGGAAACAAUAUGGAGUCUAUUAAUGCUCUAAAGCAAUUCCUCCAUACUCGUUUUCGCAUCAAGGAUCUUGGUGAUCUGAAAUUUUUCCUUGGCAUUGAAGUAGCUCGUUCCAAGAAAGAGAUUUACAUAUCCCAAAGUAAAUAUACCUUGGAAAUUACAAGGAUAGUGGCUACUUGGGUGCUAAGCCGGUUGAGUUUCCCAUGGAAGAAUCCAAGCUUUCAAAUAAAGGAGAAUUACUCAAAGACCCUGCUGCAUAUCAGCGCCUGGUUGGUCGGCUGAUUUAUUUGACCAUUACUAGACCCGACAUCACAUACUCAGUACUUAUUCUUAGCCGGUUUAUGCAUGAACCUCGCUUACAACAUAUGAUUGCUGCUCUUUGAGUUGUUCGUUACCUGAAGUCUUCUCCUGGUCAAGGUUUACUUCUCCAUGCCAAUAACACUUUAAAUCUUAAGGCUUUCUGUGAUUCUAAUUGGGCGGGUUGUCCUAUUACCAGCCGCUCUACUACGGGCUAUUAUGUAUUUCUGGGAAAUUCUUUAAUUUCAUGGAAGACCAAGAGGCAAAAGACCGUAUCUUUAUCAAGUGCAGAAGCUGAGUACAGAGCAAUGGCAGGUACUUGCUAUGAGCUUACUUGGCUACGUUAUUUAUUUGCAGAUUUGCAUAUGCCUGUUACAAGUCCUGCUGUUUUACAUUGUGAUAAUCAAGCUGCUUUGCACAUUGCUAAAAAUCCUGUGUUUCAUGAGAGAACUCGACAUAUUGAAAUGGAUUGUCA
rnacentral:lncRNA from 1 species